rnacentral:rRNA from 1 species
UACAGAGGUGGCAAGCGUUGUUCGGAAUUACUGGGCGUAAAGGGCGCGUAGGCGGCCUUCUAAGUCAGACGUGAAAUCCCCCGGCUUAACCUGGGAACUGCGUCUGAUACUGGGAGGCUUGAGUAUGGGAGAGGGAUGUAGAAUUCCAGGUGUAGCGGUGAAAUGCGUAGAGAUGUGGAGGAACACCGAUGGCGAAGGCAGCCCCCUGGGCUAACACUGACGCUCAUGCACGAAAGCGUGGGGAGCAAACAGG